GACGAACGCUGGCGGCGUGCUUAACACAUGCAAGUCGAGCGGUAAGGCCCUUUCGGGGGUACACGAGCGGCGAACGGGUGAGUGACACGUGGGUGACCUGCCCUUAGCUCUGGGAUAAGCCUGGGAAGCUGGGUCUAAUACCGGAUAUGACUCCAUGACGCAUGUUGUGGGGUGGAAAGCCUUGUGCGGCUAGGGAUGGGCCUGCGGCCUAUCAGCUUGUUGGUGGGGUGAUGGCCUACCAAGGCGACGACGGGUAGCCGGCCUGAGAGGCGACCGGCCACACUGGGACUGAGACACGGCCCAGACUCCUACGGGAGGCAGCAGUGGGGAAUCUUGCGCAAUGGGCGAAAGCCUGACGCAGCGACGCCGCGUGGGGAUGACGGCC
rnacentral:rRNA from 1 species